rnacentral:lncRNA from 1 species
GACGAACGACUUCCUUUUUUCUGAGAUGAGGUGAUAAACAUCAAAACCAGAACAAUCUCAUAUUAUUAGAUAAAUAUCAAAACCAAAUCUCAACAAUUUCGUCUAACCUCCACUUAAAAAUACUACAGAAUCACCAAAAUAAUAUCAAGUAUAAUACAACAUACAUGAAAAUUAUUUCUUAAGCCUAAUAAAAUUUCAAUCUAACUCAUAAAGCAUAGUGACACAAUCAUGAACAUAAAAUCCUACAAACAACAUGCUUAUUACCUUAUACAAAUUCAUUACCCUUACCAAAGCAAACAACAACUAAAAGGUACUCAUAGAAUCAGCACAAGCACAAAUGAUUAUAAAUAAAUCUUUAAUUUGCAAAGGAGAUAACUUUACAUAAUGGAAAAAUAUAUUGACUCAAUGAUAUCUAAUUCUUUAAAACUAGAACAAUCUCACAUUCUUAGAUAAACAUCAAAAUCAUACCUCAAACAAUUCCCUCUAACCUCCACCUAAAAAUGCUCAAGAAUCACCAAAGUAGUAUCAAAUAUAAUAUGGCAUGUGUGAAAAUUAUUUCCUAAAACAUAUAUUAACAAACAAAAAAACUCACCUGUUAGGUUUUCUACAUAUUUUGGAAAUCGGUAGAAUAUUUAGAAAAAAGUGAAAUUAGAGAAUUAUGAUUUACGAUUAUAGUACAAGAAUCAUGAAAUUAGGGAUUUCUAUUCAAAAUUGAAGUGAAUCAAACCUCAUGAGAAGCUUCAAUUUGAGCUAAUGUUGAACAACGGUGGAGGUUGAAGCUCAUAGGAGGACAAAGCUCACAGUGACGGUGAUGACAAAGCUCAUAGUGACGACGAUGGUGGAGCUCACAACGAUGACGAUGAUGGAGCUCAAAUCGAUGAAGACGAUGGAGCUCGAUGGUGGAGAGAGACAGAUAAAUGAAUGAGGGGGAGGGGGAGAGCGAACGAGAGAGAAAGAAAAGUGAACGAGAGAGAAA